AUCAUCAAGCUCGAUUUCCACAAGGCUUUCGACUCGGUGUCUUGGGUCGCCCUUGCCGCGAUCUUACGCGCAAAAGGCUUUCCACCGUCCUGGUGCCGUUGGGUUGACCACCUAAACUCUUCGUCCACCUCGGCCGUGUUACUGAACGGCAAGCCGGGCCCUUGGUUCCCAUGUCGGCAAGGCUUGCGGCAGGGUGACCCUUUCUCCCCC
rnacentral:rRNA from 1 species